rnacentral:rRNA from 1 species
AUCAACGCUGGCGGCGUGCCUAACACAUGCAAGUCGAACGCGAAAGGGGCUUCGGUCCUGAGUAGAGUGGCGUCCGGGUGAGUAACGCGUGGGUAAUCUACCCUUGGGUGGGAAGUAACCAGUACGAAAGAUUGGCUAAUACCGCAUAAUGCAGCGGCUCGACAUCGAGACAGUUGUUAAAGCAGCAAUGCGCCAGAGGAGGAGCCUGCGUCUGAUUAGC